rnacentral:sRNA from 2 species
UUUGGAAGUAAAAGUCGUAACAAGGUCUCCGUUGGUGAACCAGCGGAGGGAUCAUUACCGAGUUUACAACUCCCAAACCCCUGUGAACAUACCUAUACGUUGCCUCGGCGGAUCAGCCCGCGCCCCGUAAAACGGGACGGCCCGCCCGAGGACCCCUAAACUCUGUUUUUAGUGGAACUUCUGAGUAAAACAAACAAAUAAAUCAAAACUUUCAACAACGGAUCUCUUGGUUCUGGCAUCGAUGAAGAACGCAGCAAAAUGCGAUAAGUAAUGUGAAUUGCAGAAUUCAGUGAAUCAUCGAAUCUUUGAACGCACAUUGCGCCCGCCAGUAUUCUGGCGGGCAUGCCUGUUCGAGCGUCAUUUCAACCCUCAAGCUCAGCUUGGUGUUGGGACUCGCGGUAACCCGCGUUCCCCAAAUCGAUUGGCGGUCACGUCGAGCUUCCAUAGCGUAGUAAUCAUACACCUCGUUACUGGUAAUCGUCGCGGCCACGCCGUAAAACCCCAACUU